CAGCCGCGGUAACACGUAGGAGGCGAGCGUUAUCCGGAUUUAUUGGGCGUAAAGCGCAUGCAGGUGGCUAGGUAAGUCGGGUGUGAAAGCCCCGGACUUAAUCCGGGGAGGUCAUUCGAUACUGCUUGGCUUGAGAGCGGGAGAGGGAAGUGGAAUUCUCGGUGUAGUGGUGAUAUGCGUAGAUAUCGAGAGGAACACCAGUGGCGAAGGCGGCUUCCUGGCCCGUAUCUGACACUAAGAUGCGAAAGCGUGGGUAGCAAACGGACUUAGAUACUCCGGUAGUCCACGCUGUAAACGAUGGGUACUAGGUGUAGGGGGUGUAAAACUCUCUGUGCCAUAGUUAACGCACUAAGUACCCCGCCUGGGGACUACGGUCGCAAGGCUAAAACUCAAAGGAAUUGACGGGGGCCCGCACAAGCAGCGGAGCGUGUGGUUCAAUUCGAAGAUACACGAAGAACCUUACCUGGGCUUGACAUGUUGGUAGUAGUGAAGCGAAAGCGGAACGAUCCUUCGGGAAGCCAUCACAGGUGCUGCAUGGCUGUCGUCAGCUCGUGCCGUGAGGUGUUGGGUUAAGUCCUGUAACGAGCGCAACCCUCGCUGCCAGUUACAAGUGUCUGGCGGGACUGCCGGUGACAAACCGGAGGAAGGUGGGGAUGACGUCAAGUCAGCAUGGCCUUUAUGUCCAGGGCUACACACACGCUACAAUGGCCGGUACAAUAGGUUGCCAAGUCGUGAGGCGGAGCUAAUCCUCAAAACCGGUCUCAGUUCGAAUUGCAGGCUGCAACCCGCCUGCAUGAAGUUGGAGUUGCUAGUAAACGCGCGUCAGCAAUAGUGCGUUGAAUACGUUCCCGGG
rnacentral:rRNA from 1 species